AAAGGAAUAGACGGGGGCCCGCACAAGCAGCGGAGCAUGUGGUUUAAUUCGAAGCAACGCGAAGAACCUUACCAAGACUUGACAUCGUAUGACCACCAUAGAGAUAUGGUUUUCGCCCGCAAGGGCGACAUAUAGACAGGUGGUGCAUGGUUGUCGUCAGCUCGUGUCGUGAGAUGUUGGGUUAAGUCCCGCAACGAGCGCAACCCUCAUAACCAGUUGCCAAUAUUAAGUUAGGAACUCUGGUUAGACUGCCGUGGAUAACACGGAGGAAGGUGGGGAUGACGUCAAAUCAUCAUGCCCCUUACGUCUUGGGCUACACACGUGCUACAAUGGCUAUUACAAAGAGCGGCAAGCUUGUAAAAGUAAGCGAAUCUCAAAAAGAUAGUCUCAGUUCGGAUUGUGGGCUGCAACCCGCCCACAUGAAGUCGGAGUUGCUAGUAAUCCUGAAUCAGAAUGUCAGGGUGAAUGCGUUCCCGGGCCUUGUACACACCGCCCGU
rnacentral:rRNA from 1 species